AAGCAACGUAUGCGCCCGCUGUCCGCUGGACGACUCGUAGUAGGGGCCUCGGACCCCAAGGGCAUAUGUCAUUUGCUAAGACACCAUGGCGAAAGAGUCACGGUAGCCGCCUUGAAGUAUAAUUUCGAUCGAGCGGUGGGUAGAAUCCUUUGUAGAUGACUUAAAUAUCUAUGGGGUAUUGUAAGCGGAAAAGUGGGCUUGCUGCCACGAUCCACUAAGAUUCAUCCCUUUGUUGUGAUGAUUCAAGAUAACUCGAUGGAUCGCACGACCAUCGUGCCGAUGAUGCAUCAUUCAAAUUUUUGUCCUGUCAAGUUUCGAUGGUAGGAUAGUAUCCUACCAUGGUGGUGAUGGGUGAUGGAGAAUUAGGGUUCGAUUUCGGAGAGGGAGCCUGAGAAAUGGCUACCAUAUCCAAGAAAGGCAAUAGGUGCACAAAUUACCCAAUCCUGACACAAGAAGGUAGUGACAAUAAAUAAUAAUACCGAGCUCAAUGAGUCUGGUAAUUUGAAUAAGUAAAAUCUAAAUCCCUUAAUGAGGAUCCAUUGGAGGGAGAGUCUAUUUCUAGUAGUCUCAGUAAUUCCAGCACCAAUAACAUAUAUUUAAGUUGUUUCAGUUAAAAAGCUCAAAGUUGGACUUUGGGAUUAACCGACCGGUCUACCUAUGGUGUGCAUUGGUCGUCUCGUCCCUUCUGUCGGGUUGUGCCUCCGACGCUGUUACUUUAAAGAAAUUAGAAUGCUUAAAGCAAGCCUACUCUUUGUAUACAUUAGCAUGGGAUAACAUUAUAGGAUUUUGGUCCUAUUUUGUUGGCCUUCGGGAUUGGAGUAAUGAUUAACAGGGACAGUCGGGGGCAUUCGUAUUUCAUAGUGAGAGGUAAAAUUAUUGGAUUUAUUAAAUACGAAUAAAUAUGAAAGCAUUUUCCAAGGAUGUUUUCAUUAAUCAAGAACGAAUGUUGGGGGCUCAAAGGUGGUCAGAUACCAUCCUAGUCUCAACCAUAAACGAUGCCGACCAGGGAUCGACGGAUGUUGCUAUUAGGACUCUGCUAGCACCUUAUGAUAAAUCAAAGUUUUUGGGUUCUGGGGGAGUAUAGUCACAAGGCUGAAACUUAGAGGAGGUGAUAGAAGGGCAACAAAGGAGGUGGCAGAAGGGCACCACCAGGAGUGGAGCCUGCGGCUUAAUUUGACUCAACACGGGGAAAAUUACCAGGUCCAUACAUACUAAGGAUUGACAAACUGAGAGCUCUUUCUUGAUUCUAUGGGUGGUGGUGCCUGGCCGUUAGUUUGUGGAGUGAUUUGUCUGGUUAAUUCCGUUACUGAACGAGACCUUAGCCUGCUAACUAGCUAUGCAGAAAUAUCCCUUCGCGGCCAGCUUCUUAGAGGGACUACAACCUUUUAGGCCGCAGAAGUUUGAGGUAAUAAAAGGUCUGUGAUGCCUUUAGAUGUUAUGGGCCGCAGGCACACUACACUGAUGCAUUCAACGAGUUUAUAGCCUUGACCGACAGGCCUGGUUAAUAUUUGAACUUUCAUCAUGAUGGGGAUAGAUCAUUGCAAUUGUUGGUCUUCAAGGAGGAAUUCCUAGUAAGCGUGAGUUAUCAGCUCGUGUUGACUACGUCCUUGCAUUUUGUACCCACCGCCCGUCGCUCCUACCGAUUGAAUGAUCCUGUGAAAUGUGUAGAUUGCGGCGAUGUGGGCAGUUCGCUGCCCGCGAUAUCGCGAGAAGUACAUUGAACCAUAUCAUUUAGAGAAAGGAGAAUUUGAAACAAGGUUUGUAUAGGUGAACCUGCGGAAG
rnacentral:rRNA from 1 species